rnacentral:snoRNA from 1 species
AAGAUCGACGACGACGACAUCGUCUCUCACAUCCUCACUGGCCUGGACGAGGAGUUUGAUCCGGUGGUCUCUGCUAUGUGCUCCAGAGUGGAGCCGAUCUCCGUGCCCGAGCUGUUCUCUCAGCUCAUCAGCUUCGAGA